GCGGGUGUAGUUUAAUGGUAAAACUGAUGCUUCCCAAGCAUUCGUCGUGGGUUCGAUUCCCAUCACCCGCUCCA
rnacentral:tRNA from 1 species